AAUUUUGAUUCUUGCCUUACAUCUUCAGUGUCUGUGAGUAAUUUAGUGUAACCUGUGUUGCUGAAAACUAUAUUAACAAGAGUAUAUGUUUUAGAAAGUAAUAAUUUGAAAAAAUAAGUUUUCAAAUAAUUAAAAAUUCACUACUGUAAUGCAUUAUGAACCACAUCGAGAGAACACAUUUUAUAGCUAACGUCAUUAUGACUUGUCUAAACACGUAGUACUUUGUUAUUUGAUUCUUUCUGUUAUAGAUUUGGAUAGGUUCUGCCUACUCUCAGGUUUUAUUGAGUUUGAAGAUGAAUUAGUAAGUGAUGAAAACAAUCUCUGUUGUAUAUUUCCUCUGGUAACCUGCCUCAUCUUAAUUGGUGUUAAUUUUGUGUAUUGUUUAGUAGUAAAUGCUUGAGUUUAAAACUUUAGAAUGCAUGUUUUAAGGUUCUUUUUGUAAUUGUGAGAUACAAUAAAAUGUGA
rnacentral:lncRNA from 1 species